UUUUUUUUUUUUUUUUUUUAAGAUGGGGUCUCCCUCUGUUGCCCAGGCUGGAGUGCAGUGGCGCAAUUCCAGCUCACUGCAACCUCUGCUUCCUUGGCUCAAAUGAUCCUUCUGCCUCAGCCUCCUGAGCAGCUGGGACUACAAUCUCACACCACCACACCCAGCUAAUCUUUGUAUUUAGGGGCUUUGCUUUGUGGCUAGGGCUGGUCUCAAACUCCUGGACUCAAGUGAUCCUCCCCACUGGGACUCCUGAAGUGCUGCGAUUACAGGUGUGAGCCACUGCGCCUGGCCACUCUCUUGCCUUCUUAAUUCUCAACACAUGUAAUUCUCAAAUGUUAGGGAUCAGGUAGAGGAAAUGUGAUUAUUGAAAUGUGUUAUAAUAAUGUUAUAAUGAUACUUAAGAUCCUUGAGGACAGGUACCAUGACAUCUAAUUGAAAAUGCACACCUCAGUGUUGGCCACAGCUUACACAUUGUAGUUCUUUUGGAUUGCAUAGCAUUUCAGAUUUACUUGGUUCAUUUGGCACUUCAAAUAAUGAAUAAUUAGAUGUUGGAAAGUAAAAAAAGAAAAAAAGGAAGGAAGAAGAAAAAGAAAGAAGGAGAAAGGGGGAGAAGAGAGGAAAGAAUUUGGAGCAAUAUAAUUCAUAGAGAAUCACCAAGAUUAAAAUCUGAUCAGAUCUUAAAGAACACUUAGGGACCCUCCCUCAGAUUAUGAGAAAAUAGAGACAUAGAGAGUGAGGUGACUAGUUGAAAGUCACACUGCUAGUUAAUAGAAGCAUGAAACUAGUAAUGUAGUCUGCCAGUUUCCACUCCAGUGUCAUUUCUCUCUUCCUCCUUCCCUCUGUGUAUAAGUGUGUGUGCAUAUGUCUGUGUGUGUAUGCACCCCCACACACAUUGUUAUAUAUAGAGUAUGUUUUGGAAGUCUCUCUAACAAAAACAAAAGCCCACUGACCCAGCAUCAGUCUUUUUGUGUUGAUGGAACAGGAUUAAUUGAAGCUGUAACAUUAGGAAUAUAUAGUUAAUUUGAUUGAGAAGGUUAGGGAAUCCAGCGAUACGUUUUAGAAAAGUUUUCAUCUGUAAUGGUUAAACAAUUGUUGGUGCUUUAAUGUGUCAGAAACCUUCAGUUAGCUAGAAAGCUUGACUGUCCAAACCAUCUCCUUCCACCAGGUUUACAGAUAGUUAAGCUUGGAUUGCAUUUCAAUUAGUUUGCUAAUGUGAAGCCUCAGCCUCUCUGAGUCUUUGGAGCAAGAGAGAGAGGCUCCAGGUGGAAGGAGUGUCCUUGCAGACGGUUUCUCUUGCUUUCCUGCCCUUCGUGUGGUGGGGGAUUGAUAUGCAGCUGUUCUCCAGAUGCCAGCUCUUCCCCAGAAGCAGCUGCGUCUCAGCAGGGGCCCCUUUUAUCAAUGUGACAACCUGCUGAGGGCUUUGGAACUUUUCCAGAUGUAAGGCAUGUUGAGGCUAUAAAACAUAAUCAUUAGCAUUAUUUCCAUUUUCGUUUUAGAGUCUCAGCUGUUAAAAGUUUCUUGUACAGAUUUAGGGCUUAAUUGUUCUCAUUUUUCUUCAUAGGUAGCUUCUUUUAGACAGCAUGGGAUCUUCCCUUGGAGCUGAUUUUCACAACUCCAUGCUGGUCGUCGUAGGCAGGCGAUUUAUGGCAUCAGCGGUAAGCAUCUCAUGCCAGGAG
rnacentral:lncRNA from 1 species